rnacentral:misc_RNA from 1 species
GAUGAAGAACGCAGCGAAAUGCGAUACGUAAUGUGAAUUGCAGAAUUCAGUGAAUCAUCGAAUCUUUGAACGCAUAUUGCGCUCUCUGGUAUUCCGGAGAGCAUGCUUGUUUGAGUAUCAGUAAACACCUCAACUCCCUUUCUUCUUGAAAUGGAGCUGGACUUGAGUGAUCCCAACGCUUUAUUCAUAAAGUGGCGGGUUACUUGAAAUGCAGGUGCAGCUGGACUUUUCUCUGAGCUAUAAGCAUAUCUAUUUAGUCUGCAUCAAAACAGAUUAUUACCUUUGCUGCAGCUAACAUAAAGGAGAUUAGUUCUUGUGCUGACUGAUGCAGGAUUCACAAAGACCGCUUCGGCUGUCUUUGUAAACUCGAUCUCAAAUCAAGUAAGACUACCCGCUGAACUUAAGCAUAUCUAUAAGCGGAGGA